AGAGUUUGAUCCUGGCUCAGGACGAACGCUGGCGGCGUGCCUAACACAUGCAAGUCGAGCGAUGAAAUCCUUCGGGAUGGAUUAGCGGCGGACGGGUGAGUAACACGUGGGUAACCUGCCUCAAAGAGGGGAAUAGCCUUCCGAAAGGAAGAUUAAUACCGCAUAAUAUGUUUUGGUCGCAUGACUAGAACAUCAAAGGAGCAAUCCGCUUUGAGAUGGACCCGCGGCGCAUUAGCUAGUUGGUGAGGUAACGGCUCACCAAGGCGACGAUGCGUAGCCGACCUGAGAGGGUGAUCGGCCACAUUGGAACUGAGACACGGUCCAGACUCCUACGGGAGGCAGCAGUGGGGAGUAUUGCGCAAUGGGGGAAACCCUGACGCAGCAACGCCGCGUGAAUGAUGAAGGCCUUCGGGUUGUAAAGUUCUGUCUUCUGGGACGAUA
rnacentral:rRNA from 1 species